rnacentral:rRNA from 4 species
GAAGGUCACGGCGAGACGAGCCGUUUAUCAUUACGAUAGGUGUCAAGUGGAAGUGCAGUGAUGUAUGCAGCUGAGGCAUCCUAACAGACCGGUAGACUUGAACCUUGUUCCUACAUGACCUGAUCAAUUCGAUCAGGCACUCGCCAUCUAUUUUCAUUGUUCAAAUCUUUGACAACACGAAAAACCAUUGUUCAACUCUUUGACAACAUGAAAAAACCAAAAGCUCUGCCCUGUCCUCCCUCUCUAUCUAUCCAAGGGAUGGAAGGGCAG